rnacentral:misc_RNA from 1 species
GAUGAAGAACGUAGUGAAAUGCGAUAAGUAGUGUGAAUUGCAGAUUUCAGUGAAUCAUCGAAUCUUUGAACGCACAUUGCGCCCUUUGGUAUUCCUUAGGGCAUGCCUGUUCGAGCGUCAUUUAAACCUUCAAGCUCAGCUUGGUGAUGGGGGACUGUCCGCUGCCUCCCCCCGGGGUGCGCCGCGGACUCGCCUCAAAUUUAUUGGCGGCCGGUACGUUGGCUUCGAGCGCAGCAGAAACGCGUAACUCGAGGUCUCCGUGGCGGCUCCCACAAGCAACCUUCAUUAUUUUGACCUCGGAUCAGGUAGGGAUACCCGCUGAACUUAAGCAUAUCAAUAAGCGGAGGA